AAGAAAUUGGCUAAUUACCGGCGGCUUAAUACCGAAGGCCUUGAGGCCGUCUGUAAAAGAGAGGUGCCGACGGCCAUAAAGAGAAGUACCGACGGGCUUAGUGAAAUUAAACUACCGAAGGUCAGGAAGACGAUAGCGAGGGAUGUGUGUCCUUCGGUAAUAGGCUAGACCCAUUAAACCAAGUGAUUCGUUCUAUUCGUCGAGGUCGUCCCCAAUUUCCUGAAACUGUGAAAACCCCCCUGCCCUACCUCUCUCGUCUACGUCUGCCAUCGUUUUACUUCGUGCUUCCAUUCUCUCGGCUACCUCUCUCGUGGCUUCGUUUUCGUUUGUGCUUCCAUUAUCUCGUCUACCUUUGUCGUUUACCUCUGUCUAUCCGGUGGCAUUGUGCGCCUCUCCGUUUUGUUCGGUCUCAUCAAGGUUCUUGGUGCCGUUGUGGGUGGGGUAGCCACAGGGGUGGUGUUUCGUCAUCAUUACGCUUUGGCGCCAUAGGAGUGGUGGUUCGUGGCUGUGCGCGUGAGGCUUGUGUUCAGAGUUGGCGAUGUGCAGGGGCUUCCCUCGAAUUGGGUGUUCUGUAGUGCGAGAAGACGACACCUGGGAGGAGUCGAAGCAAUAAAAGAAAAUGAUAGGGAGAUUGGAACACGGGACAGUAAAGGAAAAGAGAAGUGCCUAUUAGCGCACCAGAUGAAAAAUCCCUUUGCCUUUACUCUAACAAGUUUUGGGGUUUCAAUUAGGAGCACAUAACGUUUGGAAGCUUCAAACGUAGUGGGUUAAAGUUAGUUGCAAAAGUGUCAUUGUUUAAGGGCUACACUCAAGUGUCGAAGACUUCAUCAUUUCCAGUCACACAAAAGGCUGUAAACAGAAGUAAAGUGGCUACCACGCUGGAAUUUUUGCUGCCAUGGUGGAAUUAAUCAAGUGGAUGAUGUUCUGAAGUGUUCACUCCUUUCACUAUCUCUUCUCCACAUGGAUUCAAGAUUCAUACACUCUUUCUUCACUUAUCAACUAUCUAGGUUUCAUUUGAGAAGAAAAAGAAAGAGUUAUUUGAGAUGGUUAGCAUUCCUGCGUGGUUUACUGGGGAUACUAGGCCUGAAAGCUUGUAGUUUAUUUGGACUCACCCCAGUGUUUUUCUGCAAAAAUGUAUUAUGCAGAUCUUAGCAUUGUCGGCAAGCCUGAAGAUAAUAAGGUAUCAAAAACAAAAAGGCUAAGGGUUUGAUGAAAAUGGGGUCGCUCCUUAUAUGGUUCCUAACCUUUGUCACCAUCCCUCAAGCAUUUGUCAUGGAGGAUGGAAAGUUUUUCUACAAGCAAUCAGGAGAACUCCUAACACCAUUGCAACAUAGGAGGUCAAUUUGAUUCAAACUAAGAGUUGCAUGACAAUGAUCAAGUACAAGAUAAAGAAUCCUUUAUUUUGCUUCAUUCUUAUUGUAAGUAUUAGUAUUAGAAACAUCCAGAAUUUAGUUAUUAAUAUGUUUGAGUACCUAGAUAUUUGAAUUUUAUAGUAUGUUAACUUUAUGCGUGAAAUUAUUGUUUUGAGUUUCUUG